GAUGAACGCUGGCGGCGUGCCUAAUACAUGCAAGUCGAGCGAACAGACGAGGAGCUUGCUCCUCUGACGUUAGCGGCGGACGGGUGAGUAACACGUGGAUCACCUACUUAUAAGACUGGGAUAACUUCGGGAAACUGGAGCUAAUACCGGAUAAUAUAUUGAACCGCAUGGUUCAAUAGUGAAAGACGGUUUUGCUGUCACUUAUAGAUGGAUCCGCGCUGCAUUAGCUAGUUGGUAAGGUAACGGCUUACCAAGGCAACGAGGCGUAGCCGACCUGCGAGGGUGAUCGGCCACACUGGAACUGGAACACGGUCCAGACUCCUACGGGAGGCAGCAGUAGGGAAUCUUCCGCAAAGGGCGAAAGCCUGACGGAGCAACGCCGCGUGAGUGAUGAAGGUCUUCGGAUCGUAAAACUCUGUUAUUAGGGAAGAACAAAUGUGUAAGUAACUAUGCACGUCUUGACGGUACCUAAUCAGAAAGCCACGGCUAACUACGUG
rnacentral:rRNA from 1 species